UACGUAGGGUGCAAGCGUUAAUCGGAAUUACUGGGCGUAAAGCGUGCGCAGGCGGUGAUGUAAGACAGAUGUGAAAUCCCCGGGCUCAACCUGGGAACUGCAUUUGUGACUGCAUCGCUGGAGUGCGGCAGAGGGGGGAUGGAAUUCCGCGUGUAGCAGUGAAAUGCGUAGAUAUGCGGAGGAACACCGAUGGCGAAGGCAAUCCCCUGGACCGGCAUGACGCUGAGGCGCGAAAGCGUGGGGAGCAAACCGG
rnacentral:rRNA from 1 species